UUGCAAGUGGAGCUUCACCUUUCUUGUGCUGUAGGAAGAGUGAUUAAAGGCAGCUGAGAGAAGUUAUGGGGAUGUAAGAGAUGUAACGUGCAUUUUCAUGGAAUAACCAUCUGACAUGAACUUAUGAUGCUGAAGUUGAGAUGCCUUUCCAAACUUAUCAAGGACAAGGGAACCGUUUUGGAACAGAAACAUUGGAAGAGGACACCCAGCACUCGCAACAUCCAGCAGGAGCAGCAGGAAGCAUCAGAUGUUGUUGGGGAAUUCUUCAGUUCCAGAAGUUUUGAAGAAACGUCUGAUCCAAAUUCUGGAGUGGAGCCAUCCCUGCUGCUGGUGGAUAGGAGCUGAUGGGGUGCAAUGAAGCCACCAGCACCCUCCAUUGCUGCAGGGAACCUUCUGGGGAGAGUGACGUGUCUGGACCUAUCUUUGUCCCGAGCAAUAGAGCCAUCCCACAUGGAGGACAACCCCAGGGGCAUGAUCCUGCACCCAUGGAGAACACAAGGACAAAGAGGUUUGAGAUCUGGUAGCACCACCCUGGGAAGUGCUGAGAGCUGCCAUGUGCCCUGCAGAGCACAAGAAGCUGUGGACGAAGAUCUGCAUUCCUCCUGGACCCAGCGCUUGCUGGGGCUCCAGUGUCUGCAGGGCUCCUUCUGGCUCCCAAACCAUGGAGCAGCAGCAGACAGGGAUUGUACCACUGGCUGUCCCUACUCCCAUCACUGCUGGCUUCCUUCUACAAACCCAGCAAGUCCUUACGCAUCCACUUGCCUCUC